UACAGAGGUCUCAACCGUUGUUCGGAUUCAUUGGGCGUAAAGGGUGCGUAGGCGGUCGCGCAAGUCGGAUGUGAAAUCUCGGGGCUCAACCCCGAAACUGCAUUCGAUACUGCGUGCUAGAGUGCUGGAGGGGAGACUGGAAUUUACGGUGUAGCAGUGAAAUGCGUAGAUAUCGUAAGGAAGACCAGUGGCGAAGGCGAAGUCUCUGGACAGCAACUGACGCUGAGGCACGAAGGCCAGGGGAGCAAACGGG
rnacentral:rRNA from 1 species